rnacentral:rRNA from 1 species
GAUGAACGCUGGCGGCGUGCCUAAUACAUGCAAGUCGAGCGAACAGACGAGGAGCUUGCUCAUCUGACGUUAGCGGCGGACGGGUGAGUAACACGUGGAUAACCUACCUAUAAGACUGGGAUAACUUCGGGAAACCGGAGCUAAUACCGGAUAAUAUAUUGAACCGCAUGGUUCAAUAGUGAAAGACGGUUUUGCUGUCACUUAUAGAUGGAUCCGCGCCGCAUUAGCUAGUUGGUAAGGUAACGGCUUACCAAGGCGACGAUGCGUAGCCGACCUGAGAGGGUGAUCGGCCACACUGGAACUGAGACACGGUCCAGACUCCUACGGGAGGCAGCAGUAGGGAAUCUUCCGCAAUGGGCGAAAGCCUGACGGAGCAACGCCGCGUGAGUGAUGAAGGUCUUCGGAUCGUAAAACUCUGUUAUUAGGGAAGAGCAAAUGUGUAAGUAACUAUGCACGUCUUGACGGUACCUAAUCAGAAAGCCACGGCUAACUACGU